CUUCAUCGAUCCGAGCCGCAGCGGCCGGCCCUCGGCCCGGUCCCGCCCGUACGUCGCGAGCAGCGCGCCCGCCUC
rfam:Streptomyces scabrisporus strain NF3 contig1, whole genome shotgun sequence.